AUUAAAACCAUAAAUAAGGACCCACUCACACCCAUUAGGAGGACUACUAUCAGGAAGAAAAGAAAAAAGAAGGAAAGGAAAGGAAAAGAGAAAAGGAAAGGAAAAGAGAAAAGAAAAGGGAAAAAAGAAAAGGGAAAAAGAAAAGGGAAAAGGAGAAAAGAAAAAAAGGAGAGAAGAAAAGGGAAAAAGAAAAGAAAAAAAAAAAAGAAAAGGGAAAAGAAAAAAAGGAAAGGAAAGGAAAGGAAAGGAAAGGAAAAAAGAAAAAAAGAAAAAAAGAAAAGGGAAAAAAGAAAAAAAGAAAAUAAAAGGAAAAAAGAAAAAAGGAGAGAAGAGAGAAGAAAAGGGAAAAGAAAAAAGAAGGAAAGAAAGAGAAAAAAUGAAAAAGGAGAAAAGAAAAGGAAGAAAAUAAAAAGAGAAGAGAUAAGAAAAGGGAAAAGAAAAAAAGAAAAAAGGAAACGAAACAAAAGGAAAAGAAAGAGAAGAAAAGGGAAAAGGAGAAAAGAAAAAAAGGAAAGGAAAAAAGAAAAAGGGAGAAGAAAAGGGAAAAGAAGGAAAGGAAAAAAGAAAAGGGAAAAGAGAAAAGAAAAAAGAGACAGAAGGGAGAAGAAAAGUGAAAAAGAAAAGGAAGAAAAAAAGGAGAGAAGAGAGAAGAAAAGGGAAAAAGAGAAAAGAAAAAAAGAAAAAAAAAAAGAAAAAAAGAAAAAAAGGAGAGAAGAAAAGGGAAAAAAGAAAAAAAAGGGAAAAAAAGGAGAGAAGAGAGAAGAAAAGGGAAAAGAGAAAAGAAGAAAAAAGAAGGAAAGGAAAGGAAAGGAAAGGAAAGGAAAGGAAAGGAAAAAAGAAAAAAGAAGGAAAGGAAAGGAAAGGAAAGGAAAGGAAAGGAAAGGAAAGGAAAGGAAAGGAAAGGAAAGGAAAGGAAAGGAAAGGAAAGGAAAGGAAAGGAAAAAAGAAAAAAAGGAGAGAAGAAAAGGGAAAAGAGAAAAAAGAAGGAAAGGAAAGGAAAGGAAAGGAAAGGAGAAACCAGAACCCCCUACACACAGUUCCAGAAAAUAG
rnacentral:lncRNA from 1 species